rfam:Picea glauca, whole genome shotgun sequence.
ACAUGCAUGCAACAUAACAUUAAUGUAGUGGAUACCAUUAGAACUUUGCAGUUAAGCGCACUUAGACUAGAGUAGUAUUGGGAUGGGUGACCUCCCAGGAAGUCCUAGUGUUUUACAUGCC